rnacentral:rRNA from 1 species
GACGAACGCUGGCGGCGUGCUUAACACAUGCAAGUCGAACGGAAAGGCCCUGCUUGCCGGGUACUCGAGUGGCGAACGGGUGAGUAACACGUGGGUGAUCUGCCCUGCACUUCGGGAUAAGCCUGGGAAACUGGGUCUAAUACCGGAUAGGAGCCAUUUUUAGUGUGAUGGUUGGAAAGUUUUUUCGGUGUUGGAUGAGCUCGCGGCCUAUCGGCUUGUUGGGGGGGUAAUGGCCUACCAAGGCGGCGACGGGUAGCCGGACUGAGAGGGUGGACGGCCACAUUGGGACUGAGAUACGGCCCAGACUCCGACGGGUGGGAGAAGGGGGGAAUAUUGCCCGAUCGGCGCCAGCCUGAUGCAGCGACGCCGCGUGGGGGAUGACGGCCUUCGGGUUGUAAACCACUUUCGCUAGGGACGAAGCUUUUUGUGACGGUACCUAGAUAAGAAGCACCGGCUAACUACGUG